rnacentral:rRNA from 1 species
AUAUCAGUAAGCGGAGGAAAAGAAACUAACAAGGAUUCCCCUAGUAACGGCGAGUGAAGCGGGAACAGCUCAAAUUUAAAAUCUCGGCGUUUUGCGUCGCGAAUUGUAGUCUAGGUAAGGUGAUCUAGGGUGGAGCAGGUGCACAAGUUCCUUGGAAAAGGACGCCAGAGAGGGUGAGAGCCCCGUGACAGCACCUGUUCCGCCUCAAGUGAGAACCUUUCAAAGAGUCGAGUUGCUUGGGAAUGCAGCUCAAAGUGGGUGGUAAAUCUCAUCUAAGGCUAAAUACUGGCAAGAGACCGAUAGCGAACAAGUACCGUGAGGGAAAGAUGAAAAGCACCUUGAAAAGGGAGUUAAAUAGUGCGUGAAAUUGUUAAAAGGGAAACGAUAGAGACCAGUGUUGGCGCGUGCUCUAACUGGGUGCCUCGGUGCCUAGAGCGAGUGCGCGUCGAGUCAAUGCCAGUUGCAGCUGCCGCACACGAUUCAGUUCAAGGUGGGGUCCACCCUCGGGUAGGCUCUUUAUAGGCUCUGAUUUCUGCGGCCGCGGCGACCGGAAGUUUGGGUCGAGUCAGUAGACUUGGUGGGAACGGCGAGCGGACAACUUGUUGACCGACUGCUCUCACUGCCAAUGAAGCGACACUCUCUCGAACGCCUUUGACGAAAUGGUCUUUAACGA